UGCACCACAUCGUCGAAAUUA
rnacentral:piRNA from 1 species